rnacentral:rRNA from 1 species
GCAGCCUGAUGCAGCAACGCCGCGUGAGGGAUGACGGCCUAUCGGGUUGUAAACCUCUUUUAGUAGGGAAGAAGCGAAAGUGACGGUACCUGCAGAAAAAGCACCGGCUAACUACGUGCCAGCAGCCGCGGUAAUACGUAGGGUGCAAGCGUUGUCCGGAAUUAUUGGGCGUAAAGAGCUCGUAGGCGGUUUGUCGCGUCUGCUGUGAAAACUGGAGGCUCAACCUCCAGCUUGCAGUGGGUACGGGCAGACUAGAGUGCGGUAGGGGAGAUUGGAAUUCCUGGUGUAGCGGUGGAAUGCGCAGAUAUCAGGAGGAACACCGAUGGCGAAGGCAGAUCUCUGGGCCGUAACUGACGCUGAGGAGCGAAAGCGUGGGGAGCGAACAGGAUUAGAUACCCUGGUAGUCCACGCCGUAAACGUUGGGAACUAGAUGUGGGGGCCAUUCCACGGUCUCCGUGUCGCAGCUAACGCAUUAAGUUCCCCGCCUGGGGAGUACGGCCGCAAGGCUAAAACUCAAAGGAAUUGACGGGGGCCCGCACAAGCGGCGGAGCAUGCGGAUUAAUUCGAUGCAACGCGAAGAACCUUACCAAGACUUGACAUAUACGAGAACGGGCCAGAAAUGGUCAACUCUUUG